ensembl:lncRNA
UGAAAACUCACCUUGGAGAGUCCAGCCUGGAACGGAAGGCCGGGCACCGCGGGCCACACACAAUUGACUCUUACUGGGAGGGGCUCCGAAAGGAUGAGCCACGCUCCCUGCAGCCCUCGGCGGAUCGCCUAGGAGGAGGGCUCCGGGCUUCAACCGGGGAAGCAUCGUUGUCUUUCCCGAAGAAGCCGAUGCCCCACAGGAGUUUUCUUCUCUACUGGGUGGGCAGCUCCGCGUGACCGCACCGCGCGGCCACCCGGCGGUCUGUAACUUUUGCCAUAGCGCCGCGUGGGUGCGGCAGGCCGCCGGCCCAUGCGCAGUGGCCUCUCGCAGGAUCCUCCCACCGCGCAGGCUCGCCUGUCAGCUCUUCGCCCCGGGAGGGGUGCUACCUUCGGGUCCCCGGGGAGGAGGGGGAGUCCGCGCGGAGGGCCAUAAUUUGACCGAAUAUUGAUCUGAAGCACUUCGACGUCUUAGAGGAAGCCGAGUCAAGUUAGUUUUGUAAGAAUCAAGACCUUCACUCUGAGUCAUCUACUUACCUCUGAAGGUGUGGGGCCCACUGGGUGUUCAGGGCUCCAGCUGUGGACCAAC